CUGAACCUACGGGGGGCAGCAGUGGGGAAUCUUCCGCAAUGGGCGAAGGCCUGACGGAGCAAUGCCGCGUGAGUGAAGAAGGCCUUCGGGUUGUAAAACUCUGUCCUUAUCGAAGAGAGGUGGGUAUGUGAAUAAUGUACUCAUAGGACGGUAGAUAAGGAGGAAGCCCCGGCUAACUACGUGCCAGCAGCCGCGGUAAUACGUAGGGGGCGAGCGUUGGCCGGAAUCACUGGGCGUAAAGGGCGCGUAGGGGGUUUUAUAAGUCAGUGGUGAAAGCUGAGGG
rnacentral:rRNA from 1 species